CACACACAAAAUGACAAUCCACUUCAAUGUGUAUAGUCCGUUCAUGAAAAACAGGAUUCUUAACAAUGUGAAUAGCAGCCUGGCUGUCACAAUACAUGGAAAAAGGAAGAGAGACAGAAACUCCAAGAUCAAGAAAUAAACGAGACAACCAAGAUAGUUCUGCAACAACCUUAUUGAGGGCCCUGUAUUCAGCCUCAGCAGAAGAUAAAGAAACCAAUGGUUGCUUCUUAGAUUUCCAACUAAUCAGGCAACCACCCAGAAUAAUACAGAACCCAGUAACAGACCUCCUUGUAUCAGGACAGGCAACCUAGUCACUAUCAGAAUAACCAACAACAGCGAAAUCAUUGCAAUCAGAAUACCAACUAAUCAGGCAACCUCCCAGAAUAAUACAUAACCCAGUAACAGACCUCCUUGUAUUAGGGCAGGCAGCACAGUCACUAUCAGAAUAACCAACAACAGUGAAAUCAGUGCAAUCAGAAUAAAAGAGGCCCAGAGAAGGGGUGCCUUUAAGAUAUCUCAACACAUGAAGGGCAGCAGUCAUAUGGGGGAGUCUGGGGCAUUUGAGGAACUGACUCAGAUGUUGCACAGCAAAACAGAUGUCAAGCCUAGUAUGAGUCAGAAAUAAGAGCUUACCAACAAGACUCCUAUACUGAUCAGGACAAGGUAAAAGGUCACCAGAAUCAGCAUGNNNNNNNNNNNNNNNNNNNNNNNNNNNNNNNNNNNNNNNNNCAAGAGAAGGCAAAAGGUCACCAAAAUCAGCAUGCAAUUUUGCAUUAAUGUCCAAAGGACAAACAACAGAAGAGACAUUGACACAGUCAAACUGUUGCUGCAAAUCAGAAAUAUAUUUAUGCUGAUUAGGGAUCAUCUCACCAGGAACAGAUGACAUCUCUAUGCCUAGAAAAUAAUGUAAGGACCCUAGGUCCUUAAUUUUGAACUGAUCAUCCCUCCUCAUCCAAAUCACCAUGCAAGAAAGCAUUAUUAACAUCUAGUUGAAAUAAAUUCCAAUGAUUUUUCACAUCCACAACAAUAAAACACUUAACAGUGCACAUUUUAACCACAUGCGAAAAGGUGUCAGUGAAAUCAAUACCUUCAACCUAAUUAUCUCCUCUAAUAACAAGUCUAGCUUUAUACCUUUCAACACAGCCAUCAGCCUUGUAAUUGAUUUUAUAAACCCAUUUACAACCAAUGGGUUUCUUACCAGGAGGAAGAGGAACAACAUC
rnacentral:lncRNA from 1 species